rnacentral:lncRNA from 1 species
UGUUACAAAGCACAUGACGUGUCUCGUUUUUUAUUAUUAUCAAUUUCUGGGGUUUUAGGCUAAAUGUUGCAGAUGCUCAAGGAAACAGAUUAUGGAAGACGCAAGUUAUCCAGCUCUCUCUAACAGCACAAUUCUGUGUUUGCCAACUGCUGGAUAGAUAGCUCAGUGGUUUAAUUCUCUGGCUGCGGAGCCAGAGGUUGGGAGUUUGAUUCCCCCACUGUGCCUCUUUGAUAGGAGCGGACUUGAUGAACCAGCUCUGAAGUUUCAGGAUAAGAGACAGCCCGUGUAGGCAAGCAGCACCGUCCUAGGAUGCUGCCAGAAAAAGGGAAGAGUAAACCACUUCUGAAUAUUCUCUAUCUGGAAAAACCCUGAAAAGGGUUGUCAUAUGUCAGAAUUCAAUUGAUGGCACAUGAUGAGAUGGCAUGGCACAUGAUGAUGAUGAUGAUGAUGAUGAUGAUGAUGAUGAUGAUGAUGAUGAUGACACAGUCCUAAGUACAACUCACAGUAAGAAACAAAACCAUUUGAAAUGUUGCAAGAGAGUAAAAAUAGCAUUAAAAUGCAAGUCACAGAGUAAAGACAGCUUAAAGCCAGGACAGAUUAAAAGGAUCCGUUAAAAUCAGAAAGCAGUUGUGCCUAGUGCUAAAAUGACACCAAAAAGCAAUGGCCAGCUCCUCUGGGAAGUGCAUUUCACAGCCACGGUGCCACCACCGAAAAGGCCUGCUCUCUCUUAGCCACGCUGUGCUACACCUCACUUGGAGCUACUGUAUUUGGAGAAGGGUCUGUGAAGAUGAACCUCAACUCAAACUGGAGCUUCUUCUGAUAUUUCUGGGCUGGCAAACAGCAAGAGUCACGUGUCUGAGAAGACUGAGGAUGUGUCUACCCGGCACAGCUAGAUCUGUGAUACCACUUCAAACACCGCAUCUCCAUCCUAAGGAGUCCUGGGAUUCAGUGUAUGAAGAGAGAAUUAUCUGCUGUAGUUCAAGCGAAUGCGCUAGGAUCUCAGUAAACUGCAACUCCCAGGAUGCUAGAGUAUGGAGUCCUGGCAUUUAACAGGGCUCUCACACUGACUUGGACAUACACUGAUGAGCCACAACAUUAAAACCACUGACAAGUGAAGUGAAUAGCAUUGAUUCUAUUGUUACAAUGGCACCUGUCAAGCAUUGGGAUAUACAGUAUUAGGCAUCAAGUGAACAAACAAUGGCACCUGUCAAGCAUUGGGAUAUAUCAGGCAUCAAGUGAACAGUCGCUUCUUGAAUUUCAUGUGUUGGAAGCAGGAAAUAUAGGCAGGCGAAUAUAUCUGAGUGACUUUGACAAGGGCCAGAUAGUGAUGGCUAGAUGACUGGGUCAGAGCAUCUCCAAAACAGCAGGUCUUGUGAGGUGUUCCCAGUAUGCAGUGGUUAGUACCGUAUUUUUCCAUGUAUACAACUAUGCUUUAGUCUAAAAUCUUUAGACUAAAAAUCGAGGGUCGUCUUAUACACGGAAGUAAGCUGAGGAGAAAAAAAGAAGUGGAGGAGAAAGCAGGGAUCAAAGCCAUCCUGAAGCACUUUGAUCCUUUUUAACCCGCAUUUGCCACGUCCCACUUGGAUUUCUUAAUUUGGGGUUAGAAAAAUGGGGGCGUCUUAUACGUGGGGGUUUCUUAUACACGGAAAAAUACAGUACCUACCAGCCAUGGUGCAAAGAAGGACAACUGGUGAACCAGUGUCAAGGUCACAAAUGCCCAAAGCUCACUGAUGCACGUGGGGAGCAAAGGUUAGCCCGUCUGGUCCAAUCACACAGAAGAGCUACUGUAGCUCAAAUUGCUGAAAAACUUAAUGCUGGACUUCAUAGAAAGGGGUCAGAACACACAGUGCAUUGCAGUUCACUGCAUAUGAGGCUGCGUAGCCCAGACGAGUCAAAGUGCCCAUGAUGACCACUGUCCAACACUGAAAGUGCCUACAAUGGGGACGUGAGCAUCAGAACUGGUCCAUGGAGCAACAGAAGAAGGUUGCCUGGCCAAUCAAAAAAAAAAAUAAUGAUUUUAAGAAAAUAUGGAAUGUAUUUUUGGAAUAUGUAUUUCGGAGAGGGAAGGGGUAUACACGGAGGGAAGAGACAAUGCAUUUUUUGGAGGGAAAAUGGAUUGAAUGAAGUUUAAUGCUAGCCCUGAAGGUGACAGUGGCACGGGAAAAUGGAUUGAAGUAUUUUAUUUUAUUGUGUUUUCUUUUUUUAUUUUUUCUGUGUGGGAGUAGGUUUAUGUUAUGUAAUUCAUUUUAGUAAAAUAAAAUUUUAAAAAAAAGAGUCA